rnacentral:lncRNA from 1 species
GGUAAUUUUAUUCCCAGUAAAUUCAUUCCCACUUUGAAAAGGGGGUAGUUAGUGACGUCAUACGGUUUAUGUUUCCACACUAGUUAGUAGUUUUGUGUAGAGCUGUAGAGGGAGGGCUGGACAUUGGGCAAUUAGUACUGGAGAUGAGGGAUGACAAGUGAUGGAUGGGAUACAGAAAUGAAUGAGUUAUUGUGUUUAUGGAUUAUAGAUGACGUCAUGAUAAAUAUUUAAUUGUGAGUAGGGAUGGAAUCCCGAUCCGUGGAUAUUAUUUAUACCUUGGGAAAUAGAAGGAAAUCCCCCGUAAACACUUCCUCUUGUUCAUCGUCUAUCACUACUCCCUCCUACUCCUUCUCAUCCAUGGACAAUCAUCAAUUUCAUCAUCCCCUUUUCCCUCCCCUUCCUCUUUUCACAAUUCAAAUCUAUGUAAACAACAAACAAGUUUGCUUGGUCACCUCACUCCCUUCUCCAGGAUCACUUACUCUCCCCUGCUUCAAGUUAAGCUCUGGAUUGAAUCUUACAACAAUCAUCAUCAUUCAAAGGAUCAUGCUGGAACUCGUUUCAAAGCAAUUGGAAGGAAUCACAGAAUACUAUUGCUACGGUCCGUUGCGAAGAAUAAUUGAUAUUCAUAUGCAGUAGCUUUCUUCAUCAUAAGGGCAUGAAGAGAAUUAUACUUGGAGUUAUUGCACCAUAUCAAGAUGGGGAUCUCGUCCAUGAAAGUCUGCAUGCAUUUCUGAAUAUGAGUAUGUAAUAUUAAAUAUAUCUAAAUACUCCAUUAACUUAUCCCAAACUGAGAUUGUGAUGUGUUCGCUUCGGCCCUUCACUUGUGCUUCUGUCCCUCGGGAAUAAAUUAUCUUGUAAUCUUGUGUUUAUGUCUUUAUGAGUUAUCGUAUUUUGUGAUUCUAUGUAUGAAACAACUCGUUUCUUUGUGGAAUUAACCAUCUCUCUAUUACUAAGAGAAUUUUGGACCCUAACGAAUGAAAGAAAAACAUGUUGCAAGACCCUGGUGAAAUAAAGCAUCUUUUUUAGUGGUUGAUAAAUACAAGAACCCGAUUGAUAUGUUGAGUUGUCGAGCUUUGAGGAUUGAAUAUGAUAAGGAGAUCAUCACUGUUUCUUAUAUGGCUCUGCUUGGAGUCAAUGAGUUCUUAUACUGUCUAUAGUCUAUAAGAUUGCAUAACUUAUAAGAACUCAUUAAUAAAGUGCUUACUUGAGGACAAAAUUGAAGGGAGAGACAGCUGACACAUUUUCAUAAUUGAUUUUUUCUUAUAAAUUCCUAAUACUCUCGUUUGUUCUCAUAAAUACUUACUUUAAUAAAAAAUGUUUUAGAAUAUCUAAGACAAAUAAACAUAAAUAA